rnacentral:rRNA from 1 species
UACGAAGGGGGCUAGCGUUGCUCGGAAUCACUGGGCGUAAAGCGCACGUAGGCGGAUUUCUAAGUCAGGGGUGAAAUCCUGGAGCUCAACUCCAGAACUGCCUUUGAUACUGGGGAUCUCGAGUCCGGAAGAGGUGAGUGGAACUGCGAGUGUAGAGGUGAAAUUCGUAGAUAUUCGCAAGAACACCAGUGGCGAAGGCGGCUCACUGGUCCGGUACUGACGCUGAGGUGCGAAAGCGUGGGGAGCAAACAGG